UUCUCUUCAUCUAGGAUAAAAGGCCCAGAAGGAUGAGGAUGCAUGUCUAGGCCGGCCUGGAGUGCUGGUGGCUUCCUUCCUGCCUGUGCCAGGCCCACGGGGCUCUGUGCCUCCUGGUCAGGAGCAGGUGUGCAGCAAAGAGAAGUCCUGUGCUUCAGCCGCUGCCAGGAGCCUACGUCCUGGACUGUGAUCUUCACAUGGCCUCCUCCGCGAGGCAGAAAGAGGAGAGGCAAACAGUGCUGAGUGUUUCUCUUCUUCUAUUCUGGAGGCUAUGGAGAGCUGGUAUCUGUAUUUCCUCACCCAACCCUGUAAGGCUGCGCCUCAACUGGUGAGGCUUUGUCAGCAUUUUGUCCUGAGGGCAGACCCUUGUCCAGGAGCACAGGACAGGAUGCCAGGGUGUUUCAGGAUGGCUCCUUUUCCCUUUCUCACCAAGAGCAAGA
rnacentral:lncRNA from 1 species